rnacentral:rRNA from 1 species
UCGAUUUGGAGUUUGUUGCCUAGAGUGAUGGGCUCCGAAGCUAACGCGAUAAAUCGACCGCCUGGGGAGUACGGCCGCAAGGUUAAAACUCAAAUGAAUUGACGGGGGCCCGCACAAGCGGUGGAGCAUGUGGUUUAAUUCGAUGCAACGCGAAGAACCUUACCUGGUCUUGACAUCCACAGAAUCUUGCAGAGAUGCGGGAGUGCCUUCGGGAACUGUGAGACAGGUGCUGCAUGGCUGUCGUCAGCUCGUGUUGUGAAAUGUUGGGUUAAGUCCCGCAACGAGCGCAACCCUUAUCCUUUGUUGCCAUCG